rnacentral:rRNA from 1 species
GAGGAUUCUCCCAGUAACGGCGAGUGAACGGAGAAAAGCCCAGCGCUGAAUCAUUUGAUCACAGUGAUCAUAUUGAAAUGUAGCGUAUAGGUGUAACUGUCCCAUUGUUUUGUGCACUCAAAGUCCCCUUGAGCGGGGCCAUAGUCCACAGAAGGUGCUAGACCUGUACGGGUGACGAAGCACUGGGUUAGUUGCUCCUUGGAGUCGGGUUGCCUGAGAUCGCAGCUCAAAGUGGGUGGUAAACCUCAUCUAAGGCUAAAUAUGGCCACGAGACCGAUAGCAAACAAGUACCGUGAGGGAAAGUUGAAAAGAACUCUGAGAAGAGAGUUAAAGGAGGACGUGAAACCGCUGGGAUGGAAACGAAUAGAGUUGACGAAACCUACCGUCAUUCAACCGAUCAGCUUAACGGUCUUUUUACUAUUGUACCACACGUCUUUUGACGUUACGAUGGACAAUAGUUUGAGGUGCUGUUGAGUAGUUUUCAAAUAAUACCUGUGUGAUCGGUGCAUUUGAUGGUGGUACGCGCCGAGAGCCGUGUUAUUGUAUGACAAAGCAAUUUUGGUAGUGGACCGGAUGAUUGUUCAUUUGGAAACCUACCAAUGUGAUAGGCAUAUCGAUAAUACGGUUGCAAUUGCAACUUUCGCCGUAUGGUGCAUUACAUAUGUGCUCAAUUUAUACUUCCUUUCAAUGAUCGCAUGCGUAUCGUUGAUUGUUUUUUGAAUGUAUUGAAUUGAGUGAUAUGUGAAUUCAAAUGCGUUAAAGUUGUAUCUCGGUGUGAGCGUCGAUCACCUAUUCGACCCGUCUUGAAACACGGACCAAGGAGUCUAGCAUAUGCGCAAGUUAUUGGGUGGUAAACCUAUAAAAAACGCAAUGAAAGUGAAAGUUGUCUCGAUACAACUGGAUAUGUGAGCCAUGUGUUUUGUUUUCAAAAAAAAGAAAAAAAAAAGAGCAUGGUGCAACAUAGCCCCGUCCCCGUUGCUUGCAAUAGGGCGGAGGUAGAGCGCAUACGCUGGGACCCGAAAGAUGGUGAACUAUGCCUGAGCAGGAUGAAGCCAGAGGAAACUCUGGUGGAGGUCCGAAGCGAUUCUGACGUGCAAAUCGAUCGUCUGACUUUGGUAUAGGGGCGAAAGACUAAUCGAACUAUCUAGUAGCUGGUUCCCUCUGAAGUUUCCCCCAGGAUAGCUGGAGCACAUACAAGAGCAGUUAUAUUCGGUAAAGCGAAUGAUUAGACGAAUUGGGGACGAAACGUCCUCAACCUAUUCUCAAACUUUCAAUGGGUAUGAAGUUUCGCUUUCUUAAAGUUCGAAAAAAAAAAGAAAUUUUUUUUUUUUGAACAAUGAAGCGUGAACAUUGAAUGCGUGCUCCAAGUGGGCCAUUUUUGGUAAGCAGAACUGGCGCUGUGGGAUGAACCAAACGUCGAGAUAAAGUGCCAAACUUUCCGCUCAUGAGAUCCCAUGAAAGGCGUUGGUUGAUAUAGACAGCAGGACGGUGGCCAUGGAAGUCGGAAACCGCUAAGGAGUGUGUAACAACUCACCUGCCGAAUCAACUAGCCCUGAAAAUGGAUGGCGCUUGAGCGGAAGACUUAUACUCGACCGUUGCUUGGCUUGUGUACACAGGUGUUUUUCAUUUUUUGAAAUGCAUAAGUUACCUGGCCGCAACGAGUAAGAGGGUCGCGGUGGUUAGCGCUGAAGACUUUGGGCGUAGGCCCAGUCGGAGCUUCCACUGGUGCAGAUCUUGGUGGUAGUAGCAAAUAUUCAAGUGAGAUCCUUGAAGACUGAAGUGGAGAAGGGUUCCUCGUGAACAGCAGUUGGAUGCGGGUCAGUCGAUCCUAAGAUAUUGGCUAAUGCCAUUUGUUGAAAUGAGAGACGGAGAUCAAAUCCAUCUCGGCAAUCGAAAGGGAAACGGGUUUAUAUUCCCGUACCUGGACACGGAGAUUAAAUAUCCCAUUGUGGGUAUUUAGCGCGGUAACGCAAACGAACUCGGAGACGUUGAGUAGAGCCCGAGCCAGAGUUCUCUUUUCUGGUUAAGGAACGGACUCCCUGGAAGCGGUUCAGCCGGCGAUAGGGACGUUGUUUCCGUAAAGCGCCACGGUUCCUGUGGCGUCUCGUGCACUCUGCUCGACCCAUGAAAAUCCGAGGGAGGCAAUUUGAAUUUCGUGCCAGAUCGUACCGAUAUCCGCAGCAGGUCUCCAAGGUGAACAGCCUCUAGUCGAUAGAAUAAUGUAGGUAAGGGAAGUCGGCAAAUUAGAUCCGUAACUUCGGGAAAAGGAUUGGCUCUAAGGACUGGGUCGGUCGGGCUGCAGCGUGAAGUGAGUGCGGUUUGAUCCGUGCAGUGCUAACGCUAGUUGGUUGCACAAAAUCUUUUUGGAUCUCUCAAAAAUUUCUCCAAUAAAACAGCAAUAUUCAUUUAUAUAUAUAUGUAUUGCAUACAAAUUUGGUUUAAUCGCCAGUUUGUAUUGUUUUUAUGUGUAUAUAUUUUUGGUAUUGUGUUAGUUUUUUGGUUGUAAAUUUUUGUUUGAGUGAAAAAUUGAUGUGUCCAAUAAAGUGUUUGGUUCGGCUAGUGUUUGAACUGUCUUAUGGACCGCUGCAGCUGUGCAUCGGUUCACUUUCAGCGGUGCCGGUGCUUCGUCCGGCGCUAAACAGUCAGCUUAGAACUGGCACGGACUCGGGGAAUCCGACUGUCUAAUUAAAACAGAGGAGACAGAUGGUCCUUGCGGGCGUUGACUGUCUCUGAUUUCUGCCCAGUGCUCUGAAUGUAAAAGUGAAGAAAUUCAACCAAGCGCGGGUAAACGGCGGGAGUAACUAUGACUCUCUUAAGGUAGCCAAAUGCCUCGUCGGAUAACUACCGACGCGCAUGAAUGGAUUAUCGAGAUUCCCACUGUCCCUAUCUACUAUCUAGCGAAAUCACAGCCAAGGGAACGGGCUUGGUAAACACAGCGGGGAAAGAAGACCCUGUUGAGCUUGACUCUAGUCCGACUCUGUGAAGAGUCAUGAGAGGUGUAGCAUAAGUGGGAGGGUUUAAUGGACAAAAAUUCAUUAAGCCAUCAGUGAAAUACCACUACUUUCAUCGAUUCUUUACUUAUUCGGUAAGACGGGAAUUGAACCGAGAUGGUUCUUGAUUCUGGGUAUAAAGUGUAGCCGCUUGGUGGCCGCACGACUCGCGCCGAAGACAGUGUCAGGCGGGGAGUUUGACUGGGGCGGUACAUCUGUCAAAAGGUAACGCAGGUGUCCUAAGGCUAGCUCAGAGAGGACGGAAACCUCUCGUAGAGUAAAAGGGCAAAAGCUCGCUUGAUCUUGAUUUCCAGUACGAAUACAGACCGCGAAAGCGUGGCCUAUCGAUCCUUUUGAAUUAGAAGGUCUCUAGCAAGAGGUGUCAGAAAAGUUACCACAGGGAUAACUGGCUUGUGGCAGCCAAGCGUCCAUAGCGACGUUGCUUUUUGAUCCUUCGAUGUCGGCUCUUCCUAUCAUUGCGAAGCAGAAUUCGCCAAGCGUUGGAUUGUUCACCCACCAAUAGGG